GAAGUAAGAAAAUCAAGAAUAAGCUUCUAACUUAAUUCUUAAGCAAUGAAACUUUGUUUUUACUUCU
rnacentral:tRNA from 2 species